AUGUCUGCCCAGGACCCAGCCCAAGCAAAGCCACUCACUAAAUGUCUAUUUGCCUGGGAGCCCAUGACCUUGACAGGUUUCCUGUGUCUCCUUCUCCACGCACAGGGAUUUGCAUUGCUGAGACCUCUCAGGAUGUCUGCUUCCCUGCUAACCGGGUUUCCCAAGGCCUCUACUAGACAGCAUCUAGAAACACUGAGAAUGGAGACUCGAACCAUUUCACCCUCGGCUGAGUGCCUUCAUGCCACGGGAGCAGAAGCAGGGUGGACAUACUCACAGAGCCACAGAGAACACUCUUUAGCCUGGUUGGGAGACUCCUGGAUUUAAGUCUGGCCUGCUCCUGCGACAAAAACCAGAAGAUCCAGUGCACCUCGUGUUUUUGAGUUCAGCAUUCCCAUGUUCUACUUGUGUCAUCCAAGCAAACGAUUCCAUUUCAUAGAACCUCGGUUUCCUGUGUCCAGAAAGUGGAUAUAACAAAGGGAACCUGGCUGAGAUUGGACCCAGAGAAUUUUGGAUCUCUCAGUAAGUGAGACUGAAAAAGACUAUCAAAAAAUUUAUCAUUCACAUAUAGUUUUGUGCUCCAAAAAGAGGAGACAUCUAGAAAAAUACCUUGUAUGGGCCUUAUGCAAAUGGAGAAAAAAAAUCUUACUCUGGAAUGGGGAGUGUCUGAUCCCCUGGCUCCAAGAAUUAAAAUGCUUGGAAAAAUUGUGUAAAAUGUUGUCAUUACGCAGAGAUGAUCUCUCUGCAUGGUUCCUUUUGGAGCAGUGUUUGCUUUCCAAGUAUGUAUUUAGACUGCCAUCUGUCUGUUUAUGGUUGCUUGCUCUUAGAUAUUUCUUAGUGGAUGACCUAUUUUUUAACUAUUCAAUCAUAGAUGCUCAGGGGCUGAGACAUGGAAGAAGGCCUAAUUCUGGUCAUAGACCCAUGUUGGAGAUGGGAAUGACGGAAAGAACUGGAAUUUAUGGGGAUCGGCUUUGACUCAGCUGUUAGCAUUGUACAUGCAGUAUUCUGUGGUCACAGUGCUUGUUCUGAGAUUGUUUAGGAGUUGGAGGUUUCAGGGGCUGAUGUGGUGGUGUGGUGGGUCAAGCCAGCGCCAGCAUCUCAUGUGGGCACCAGUUCGAGUCUUGGCUGUUCCACCUCUGAUCCAGCUCCCUGCUGAUGGCCUGGGAAAGCAGUGGAGGGUGGCUUAAGUGCUUGGGCCCCUGCACCCAUGUGGGAGACCUGGAUGAAGCUCCAGACUUCUGGCUAUGGUCUGGCCUAGUCCCAGCCUUGUGGCCAUCUGGGGAGUGAACUAGUGGAUGGAAGACCUCUCUCUCUUGUCUCUCUGUCUCUCCCUCUGUAAUUCUGCCUUUCAAAGAAAGAAAUAAAUCGUUUAAAAAAAUGAAAUGAACGCUUUAU
rnacentral:lncRNA from 1 species